UAUACACAUAGAUGGGUUGCUAGCUGCUUCGACAUCUAUCUUAUUUCAUUUAGUUUAUACUAUUAGCUAAUAACUAAAAUAGAGUUCCCUUGAGCAAUCCAAAUAAGUGAUUUCUGAGACCUUGCUAAUUCAUAUGCGGUGCUAGCAAAAAGUGAUUGUUGUAUCCUGCAGAGUAUUAACUAUGAGAUCUAUCGCAUCGGAUGAUUCAUCCGAGGUGGCGAAAUACUCUUAAGCCCAAUACUUCAUGCACGCCUCAGUCAAUAAUCGAUAAGUUUACUUGUUCUCUAUUCUAUUAUGUUUAGAGUUCUAUUAAUUUGAUGCUAAUAUUUCUUAUUGCUUAUUACCUUAUAAUAAUUUUAUGUCUACUUUCUCCUACAAUCUUAAGAGUAUUUUGUGGCAUAGUAUUACUAUUAUAAAGAAUACUUGUUACUGAUUCUAAUUUCAGAAUUCUUUAUACUGUUGAGUGAGAAAUUAGUAGCACUAACGUUGGUUCUAUGUUAUGCGACAUGUAUGAUAGAUCCAGAAACUCCGUCGAAGCAUCGUACAUAAUUGGUCUAGUGAGCAUUGAGAGAGCCAAAUAUUGGGUGAACUUUUGUUUAGAGGAAGAUGGCAAAUACCUAAAAAUGGAGGAAUUCAUCGGUUCAGUCUACAAGAGUAUGAUUUGAUCAACUCCAUUGUAAGUUAUAAACUAUUCUCCUCUUGAAACCAUCCACAAGAGGCAAGGGUUAGGGUCAAGUAGAGACUCAUUGGUAAUCUACUGUUAUAUGCUUAAUAUACUCGAUUAUCUCCAAAUCACGACGCUUCAUGUUGGUGAAAACAGUUCAAUUACUACAUAUUGAAGAAUUGUUUAGAAAUGAAAUAAUAAAUAAAAUUGAAGUGACAUUUCAAUAAAGGAAAAAGUAGCUUCUAUUGGUCUUUUAUUUUAGGUUUUUCUUUGGACCUUAAUAUUAGAAACAAGACAAAGAUCCAAUUAAAAUGUAUUAAUUUGUUUAAUUUUUUUUAUACCUUUAUUUUUUGUAAGCGAAAAUUCUAUUUACUCAUGCAAGCGGUGUCAUCAAUGAAUAAUACUGCCAAUAUCUUUCUUCAAAAAAAAAAAAAUACUGCCAAUAUCUUUGAAAGAGAAAUUUACCUUAGCUAAUUUUAAAGUAAUUCAUAUUUUAUCGCCUAAGAGUAUCUUUUUUAACAAAUAGUUGAUGGAUGACUUGCUCUUGAUAAUAACAGAGGUUCAAAUAUAAAGAAGCUAAGCAACUUGUAUUAACAAAUAGUUGAUGGACGACUUGCCCUUGAAUAAUUCAAACCAUAAGAUUUGUUGAUAUAUUUUUGUGUUGGAUCGGACUUGAGUUACCAAUAAAUUUUGUUGCUAUGUGAUCUCUUUGAUCUAAUGCUUCUCGGGCGAAUAAAAAACAUGAUUUAUGUUCUUCACUCAGCACAAAACACUCGCGUCCUGCAACCAUUUUAAAAAUACCUCUGCGCUAGUUAAUUGUGUAAAUCAAACAUGAUUUAAUUUUAUACAUGCAUGACUUAAGUCACGUUGCAUGAGUUAACUCACGCUGGUUCUCCAUCUUAUUCAUUUGGCAGCUAGUACCGAUUGAGUUGGGAAGAUGGUUGGGAGAAGAUUUUUGAUAGAGUUGCUGGAGAGAAAUUUGCUAAUGCUAGGAAGCAAAUCAAUCUUUGAAAUUUGACGAUUGCGUUCGUGAUUUUGUUCAGUUGAAAAAAUAUCACUGGCCAAUGGAAUGCCCCUCCCAUUGAAGAAAUUUGUAAACCCCAUUCUUCAACAAAAUUGAUUUCAUUUCGCAUGUACUGUACUUCCUUCUCAUAAUAAUUUUUUUGAGACCGAGGAAGUAGUUUAAUGGCUCAAACAAUAAUCUGUGUUGGAGAAGAUGUCAAACACACAAGAUUGAUUAUGCUCUCCCAGCUAUAAUGUAACUCUAACUGUAAGGUUUGAAUCCAGAAGAUUCUAUUAGAUUUUUUCUAUGUAGGAAGAAUAAAUUGCAACAUUUCACCAAUUAAUUUCACCAAAGUUGAAUUGAACUAGCCACAUCACUUCUAGGAAUUUGUCCAAAAUAUUUAUAACUUCAAACCACUUUAAAACUCAAAUUGACCCACCUACCCACCAUUUUACAUAUUAUUCUCCUGCUCAAUUUCCAUGUUCUUCUACACGUAUUGUUGCAAGAGUUUCUAUUUCUAUUAUGAUAACUCUUAUUUCACAAAAAGAGAGAGUUGUUCCAAUUAUUUUUUCAUUGAUAAGUGAUCUAGUGGGGCAUAAAGGGGGAAGGGUGAAAAACUACCGCUCUAAUGCAUGCGCCUGCAGAAAACUCAGCUGUUCUAAAUAAUAAACAUUGAAUGAUAGCUAAAAUAUAACGUGCUCUAAAUAAUAAAAAUGUUCCUUCUUUCUCUAUAGGAAUGACAUAAACAAACACUAAUUAUUUGAUACACUUUAACAAAAUAAUCAUAAUUAAACAUUGAAGUUAGGCAAAAGUUUAAAUUACCAUUCGAUUUUCAAACCAAAAUAAAUAAAUUACCAUUCCAUUUGAUCCUUACACGCUCAUUAACAUUACGAAGUGGAUCACCACAGUUUAUACAUGAGGGAAAUGAUGGAAGAAAACUUAUUAAAAGAAAA